rnacentral:rRNA from 1 species
GACGUAGGUUGCGAGCGUUAUCCGGAUUUACUGAGCGUAAAGCGCUUGUAGGCGGCUUCGUAAGUUGGGCGUGAAAGCUCCGGGCUUAACCCGGAGAGGCCGUCCAAUACUGCGGAGCUCGAGGGUGCCAGAGGAAGGUGGAAUUCCUGGUGUAGCGGUGAAAUGCGUAGAUAUCAGGAGGAACACCCGUGGCGAAGGCGGCUUUCUGGGGCAUUCCUGACGCUGAGAAGCGAAAGCUAGGGGAGCAAACAGG